GCUUCUCCUGUGGGUGCAGACCAGGUCAGGACAACCCCGGUCCCGGGACCACAACCACCCCGGUGUUACCCAGAAGACUCAGCACCCCUGCGAACCAGCACUGCCAGACUGAAAUUACAGCGAUGCACAACACCCUUGGCCUGGGGUGAAGCUUCCCAGAACGCCCGCUUAAGGCUUCUCUGUACCUCUCGGGGCCUCAGUUUCCCCAUCUGUGCGACUCAGGAGCAGGAGACGCAUGUAACUCUGAGCUGGCCUAGGACCACAGCAGGGAGGCGGUCGGUCCUGCAACCCCCACCGGAGAGCUGCCUCCACCCAAGUCCACCCAGACAACCUGGAGCCAGCGACAUCUCCCCACCCCCAACCCUCGGGUUUAGUUUCCUGACCUCACUAAGGCCUGUGAAGUGACCGGCUCCCACGCCCUGACAGGUGACCCUGGACAGCCUGCUCCCUUCCUGGCAGGAAGCACCUUCCCCUCAGUGCCUCCCUGGGGGCCUGGUAGAGCGAGCCCACACUGAUUUAUCUAUUUUUACAGGCCUGGGAAUGGAAUCCAGGAACUUUUUUUACCUGAUAAGCAGGGUCUCUACACCUGACCCCGCCCCCCAGCUCAUCAUUGGGGGAUUCUAGGCGUGGGGUGGGGGGUGUCCAUCUCUGACCACACCUCCAGCCCCCUCACUGAGGGAUUCUAGGCGGGGACCCAAUCUCUGACCACUUUGUGUGCAUGCACAUUUGUACACACAUAGACACAUGGGUGUGGAAAUCAGAGGCCGAUCUCUGGUGUUAUUCCUCCGUCACUACCCAGCUUGGUUUAUAAGACAGUUUGUCACUGGCGAGGAGCUCCCUGGUGAGGUUAGGUUGGCUAGCCAACUGUCACCCACACCCCAAUUACUGGGGUUCCAAGCACAGGCCACCACACGGCCAUACCUGGCUUUAACAUGGGAGCCAAGAUUGACCUCAGGUCCUAGUGCAUAGGCAACACUACCAACUGAAGAACCUCCACUGCCUCUCACUGGUAUAGUGAGAUAGGGUCUCAGGGAGCUGCCCAUGCUAGUCUGAAACAUGCAAUCCUCCUGCCUCAGCCUCAGCGAGGCUGGCUUCCACAGUGGGUUUCGGGAGAGGCUGGUCUCAGCUUGGCUUUGGGGACCUUACAGGGUCCAUGGGAGCAGUCUUUCUUGGCUACUUUCUUCCUAUGAGGCCCACUUCUUAUUUCCUUACAGCCCCAAAUGUCCCUGACCAAGCCAGACUUUUACUGUCCCCUCCCACUUCUCUGCCUCCCUGCAACCGCUCUAUACCCAACAACCCAAACUACCUUCUCAUAACAACAACCCAACCCUGCCUCUCUCCUUCACUCACAUCAUCCAGUGAGAAGUCUGGGUCUGGUGUGGCCAACUUGCCUGGGUCCCGGGUCUCCCUACCUCCCUACACCCAGGCCUUUGCAUCUCCUGGGAGCCGCCUGCUGAGUUCUCUCAAGGUGGAAUGCUGUGUGCAGAGGGGCUAGACACAGAGGGGCUGCUGUGCAGGCAGAGGUCACUCAGCACUCCCUCCUUUGUCCUUCUAGGAAGAGCGCAGAGGUGAGAAGGCCUUCUCCAAGGCCAUCUCUUUUUUUUUUUUCGAGACAGGGUUUCUCUUUAUAGCCCUGGCUGUCCUGGAACUCACUCUGUAGACCAGGCUGGCCUCGAACUCAGAAAUUCGCCUGCCUCUGCCUCCCGAGUGCUGGGAUUAAAGGCGUGCGCCACCACGCCCGGCCCCAAGGCCAUCUCUUAACCCCAGGACCUGGGAGGCAGCAGGCGGCUACAUAGUGAGUUCCUAGAGCUACAUAGUGAGACUGUUUAAAAAUAAAAUCCAGGGGCUAAAGAGAUGGCUCAGCAGUUAAGAGCACUGACUGCUCUUCCAGAGGUCCGGAGUUCAAUUCUCAGCAACCACAUGGUGGUUCCUAAGCAUCUGUAGUGAGAUCUAACGGCCUCUUCUGGAGUGUCUGAAGACAGCUACAGUGUACUUACAUAUAAUAUAAAAUUGAAAAGAUUAAAGACCCUCGGGAAGAAGGGCCACGCUGAACUACCCACCCAGUGUCUAACUCCCCCCAUCAAAGAAUCAGGUGGCCACAGGCGGGACAUAGGGACAGCUGUGGGCGGGUGAGACAACAAAGCCGUCAGUGUCCUCAGCUGGACGGCCUGUCCCCAGUCCAGGGCCUGAUGAAAGUCAAGCGGACACAGCCAGCCGACAUAGAGGCAAUGUCCCAAGAAGACAACUUCCAUCCCUCAGUCCCUUCCUUUUCCAUAUUGUCGCUGCUUGGUCACAAGUACAGUGCGCGCAGCUGAGCCCUCCCUGCGCACCCCUCCCCACCCCCAGGCGCCACUGCCACGGUGGAUGGCGGGCCCGCGGGAGGCGGUCGCCCUGGCAACCUCGCUGUCCCCAUGGCAACGCGAGGCCCCGAGUGUGGAGGUGGAGCCUGCGCUGAGCAUCCACCCCCGGCCCAGUGCUAGGGGGCUGCGAGACAUCCAGUAGCUUUAAGGGGUGCGGGGAGAGGGCGUUUUACUCCUAUUUUGGUUUUGGCGUGCCCACACAUCUCCCUAGAAAGGGUCCGGACAAGGCAAUGAAGGUUAAGAGGGAAGAAAUAUGCAAAUCAUUAAGCCCAAAUCAUAUCUACAGGCGCAGCCUGUGAUUUCAGCAAUAGACACACUGAGGCAGGAGGAUAGUGAGUUCAAAGCCAGCCUGAAAAACUUGGUGUGACCCGGUAUCAAAAUACAGAGUGAAAAGAGACUUUGGGGCUGAGGUAGAGAUGGUGGGAGUUGCUCCAAACAUGUAAGAGGCCCAGGUCAUCCCCGCAUUCAGGAGGAUGGGGUUCCGGGAGUCAGUUCAAGGUCAUCCCUAGUUACACAGAGAGCUGGGAAGCAGCCUGGGCUAUGUGGGACUCUUAUCUCCAAAAAUAAAAAUAAAAAUAAGCAGGGACAUAGUGGCAAAAGCCUUUAAUCCCAGCACCCCAGAGGCAGGCAAAUCUCUGAGUUCGAGACCAGCUUGGUCUACAGAGCAAGUUCUGGGAAAGAGAAACAAUGUCUCAAAAAACAAACCAAACCAAAACAAAAAAGGUUUUAUUUUAUAUGUGUGUGUGUGUGCAAAUAGAGCGGGGCACAGUGGCGGAUGUCUACCAUCCCUGUGCUUGGGAGGCUAAGCAAGGGAACUUUCAGUAAGCUUGAGGCCAGCCUGGGCUACACACACCCUGCGAGAAACCCCCGUGGGAUGACCUUUGGAUUGGGGUAGGGGCUGGGAAACACCAAAUAGAGGCCAUAUCUACAAAGGUCUUGUAUAAGCAUGGAGAAGCUGACAUUUAGUUUUAGUGAGACAGAUGGCGUGCUGCCAGCUGUGUGUCCCCAGCCAGGUGACUUGUGGUCUCUGCUGAGCCUGUCCUGGUGCCUCUGGAGAUGGAGACAGUGGGCACCAGCUCGGAGCACCCCAUGCCCAUUCAGCCUGCCACUCAAGGAGUCGCACCUUCUGGGGAUUAUUUUCGGGCACCCAGUGGGGGAUCUGGGCUCCUUUGCUGCUUUGUGUGGGCGGUUGAGGACCAGGGAGGGCCUCAUCUCCCAGCUCCUGAGAUAAUUCAGCUCCAGAUGAGAUAAUGGGAAGCCAGUGACAGCCCAGCCCAAGCCUUGGCUUCCAGUUUUGUUUUUGCAAGGCCCAGAGAGGUUAUGCAACAGGCCCAAGGUCACCCAGCGGCCAGGGCGGCUCAGGCAGGGAUGGGGUGGGGGAGGGGCACAGGGGGUGUUGACCAUGCUUCUCCUUCCACAGCCUGGGCAGCUCCAGUGUCCGGCAGGGCAGCAAUGAGAGGGAUCAAGCUGGUCAGGCAUGGAGCCCAGUGCCCAGAACAUUCCUGAAGCUAAAUGAAAGGAAAGCGCUGAUGGUAACCUUGGCCGGGAGGGGAGGGGGCGGUGAUGAGUGGGGACUGACAGGGCAGCCCUUCCCCCACUGAAGCCUCCAGUGUGGGGUUGCCCAAUCCACCUGUCUGGCACCCCCUCCCCUCGGAGCACCCCGUGUCUCCUGGGCUCUUACUAUUUGACACAUUUAGAAACACGCAAACCACCACCACCACCACCCCAGGCUCUAAACCCUAACCUAACCCUAUCCCUUAGGCUGGCUUUCCCUUCUUUUCAUCAGCUCCAGCCUUUCCAUCCCCCAAGAUAAGCUGGGCACAGCCUCUUCCCCCAGGGAGCUCUGCAGGGAGUCUCCUCAGGCUGGAGGGGAGACUCAGUCAUCUCCCAGCAGGGCAGGCCCAUGCCAGGGGAAUGGAGACUUUGGCCACUAACCUGUGGUUGGAUGAGAAGCUGGACCCUGCCCUGGAUCCUCACAGCAGGGUCUCGGGUAACCCAGGGCACAGCUGGACUUUGUACGAAGCCAAGGAUGACCGGGAAUUCCUGACCCUCCUGCCUGUGUCCCAUCCAUGCCUGCUUUCUGUGAUGCUGGGAAUGGAGCCCAGGGUUCAUGCGAUGCCAGGAGAGUGGCCUCUCCAAGGGACCUCAGCCCCAGAAGCACUGCAUGCUGCAUACUCGACCUGCUUCAGGAGGGACCACCGCAGGGCCAGGUACAAAGUCAUCCCUUCCUCCAAGGCCCGAGCAAGAACAGGCGUGGGUCCCCAUCCAUCUCCUAGUACUGCCCUGAGACUUCUACAAAUGGAGGAUUUGAACACAAAUGGACAAAGUGGUGUGAAAAGGGCUUGCUGCACAGCAUGAGGACCCGAGUUCAAACCCCCAGCACCCACAUAAAAAAGACAAAGUAUGGUGGUAUGGGCUUGUCAUCCCAGCCCUGAAAAGGCAGAAACAGAAGAAUCCCUGGAGCCCAUUGGCCAGUCAACACACCUUAACUAAUAAGUUCCAGCCCAACGAGAGACGCUGUUUCAAAAUGUAAGGUGGUGGCUCACGCCUUGAUCCCAGCACUUGAGAAGCAGAGACAUGCUGAUCUCUGUAAGUUUGAGGCCAGCCUGGUCUGUUUAUCAAGUACUAGGACAGCCAGAGCAUAGAGGGAACUUGUCUCAAAACAAAACCACCAACCAAACAACAGUGAUUACAAACAAACCCACAAACAAAUGAGAAAAAGAAAAAAGACAAAGGAUGUGGUCUCAUCUUCCCGUGGUAGGUGUCAGACUCCAGCCUCUGUGCUCCCCGAUUCCCCACAUCUCCAUCUAGCCUCUGCCUCCUUGCUGGGUGCCAAAGGCCUGGCCACACCCUCCACAGCUGUUUCUCACAUCUGGUUCCACCGGGCUGCUUCCUCCCAGAAAUCCAAGCUGGGGCUUGGGCUCCACUAUCACCAGUCUGACCCAGGGUCAGGCACGCUCGCACGUUCUGGCUCCCGGGGCCCAGCCUGCCCCCCCUCGCCCCACCGCGCCUUUGCUGCUCAGACACCAACGGUGGCUACACAGCCUGCAGGCGUUGGGACCUAAGCGCACACGCCAGUCUAGCCAGCAGGUGCGCCAGUCUGUCUGAGUGGCAGGUCCUGGAGAAUCCUUUACAGAAAAGGCUCAGAUGGGAUAGACGGAAACAAAACAAAAACAUUUCUUAGACUAGGAGACUGAGGCAGGAGGGUGGAGAAUUUGAAGUUAGCCUGUGCUACACAGUAAAAGCCUGCCUUGGGGAGGGGAGCAUCUUAAAAAAAAAAGUCAGAAAGCUGAGGCAGGAGGAUUAAGAAAUUGAGAUUGAUGCCACUCUGGGCUUCAUGUCUCAAAAAAAAACCAAAGAGCAUAAAACAUAAAACAAAGACCAUAAAACAGCAAGGACAAGGCUGGCAAGAUGGAUCAAGCGAAGAAGGUGUUUCCCACGAAGCUGCAGGACCUGGGUUCAAUUCCUAGAACCCAUGGGUUGGACAGACAGGUUGACCUGCAAGUCCUUUGACCACCCCCCCCCACAUGUGUCAUGUCCUCACAAUAAUAACAAACUAAAAACACAACAACAAAAAUCUCUAAAUAAAGAAACUAUACUCAACAUUUCUCCAGCCACCUUCCCUGUUCUGAGGCUGGUCGGCCAGUCUGCUAACUCCUUCCUUAAAAACCCACAUUUAGGGGGCCAGCGAGAUGGCUGUAGAAGGGCUUGCUGUCAAGCCUGCCCACCUGCGUUCAAUCCCCAGAACCCACGUGGUGGAAGGAGAGAACUGACUUCUGAAAGUCAGACUCCCUCCAACUUGCUUACUUGCCCACACACUCUCCCACACUACACA